rnacentral:rRNA from 1 species
UGUACGGGGGGCAUUAGGGUUCGAUUCCGGAGAGGGAGCCUGAGAAACGGCUACCACAUCUAAGGAAGGCAGCAGGCGCGCAAAUUACCCAAUCCUAAUACAGGGAGGUAGUGACAAGAAAUAACAAUACAGGACUUUUUGGUUUUGUAAUUGGAAUGAGUUAAGUAUAAACCCCUUUUACAAGUAUCAAUUGGAGGGCAAGUCUGAUGCCAGCAGCCGCGGUAAUUCCAGCUCCAAUAGCGUAUG